UACGGAAGGGGGCAAGCGUUGUUCGGAAUCAUUGGGCGUAAAGGGCGCGUAGGUGGUUCUGUAUGUCUACCGUGAAAGCGUACGGCUCAACCGUAUUUUGUCGGUAGAAACUGCAGGACUUGAGGCUGGGAGGGGCUGGUGGAAUUCCCCUGUGUAGCGGUGAAAUGCGUAGAGAUGGGGGGAGAACACUCGUGGCGAAGGCGGCCAGCUAGACCAGUUCUGACACUGAGGCGCGACAGCGUGGGGGAGCAAACAGG
rnacentral:rRNA from 1 species